rnacentral:rRNA from 1 species
AGUGAACGCUGGCGGUAGGCCUAACACAUGCAAGUCGAACGGCAGCACAGUAAGAGCUUGCUCUUACGGGUGGCGAGUGGCGGACGGGUGAGGAAUACAUCGGAAUCUACUUUUUCGUGGGGGUUAACGUAGGGAAACUUACGCUAAUACCGCAUACGUCCUACGGGUGAAAGCAGGGGUUCUUCGGACCUUGCGCGAUUGUAUGAGCCGAUGUCGGAUUAGUUAGUUGGCGGGGUAAAGGCCCACCAAGGCGACGAUCCGUAGCUGGUCUGAGAGGAUGAUCAGCCACACUGGAAGUGAGACACGGUCCAGACACCUACGGGAGGCAGCAGUGGGGAAUAUUGGACAAUGGGAGCAAGCCUGAUCCAGCCAUACCGCGUGGGUGAAGAAGGCCUUCGGGUUGUAAAGCCCUUUUGUUGGGAAAGAAAAGCAGCAGGUUAAUACCCCGCUGUUCUGACGGUACCCAAAGAAUAAGCACCGGCUAACUUCGUG